rnacentral:tRNA from 1 species
AUUUACUUAGUAUAAUAGUAUAGUUGGCUUCCAACCAAAAGGACUGAAAAAUCAGAGUAAAUA